CUUCAUCUAACAACAACCAUAUUUUUCCCUUCUACUUCCUACCAUGGCCAAAUGCAUCACAACACCAUACCAUUUCAAUUUUUGGUCAUGGUUAAACAAAGAACUUAAUGUCUCACUCAAAAAUGCUAAAAAGAAGAUUCAAGAAUCAUCAAUCCACCAUCACAUGCACCAUUACAAAGCUUCACUUUUAGCAUGCAAAUGAUAUCAACACAAAUCCACCUUAGC
rnacentral:lncRNA from 1 species